GGUUCUAUUGGCUAAUGGUUAAGCAGUCGUCUGUAAGUAAGUUCUCAUGGGCAUAGAACGACGAAUAUGCUGGUUCGAAUCUAGCUAGAACCU